GAUGAACGCUAGCGGCAGGCUUAAUACAUGCAAGUCGAGGGGCAGCAGCUCUGUAGCAAUACAGAGGCUGGCGACCGGCAAACGGGUGCGGAACACGUACGCAACUUACCCAUAACUGGUGAAUAGCCCUCCGAAAGGAGGAUUAAUACAUCGUAACAUAAUGAGAUGGCAUCAUUUUAUUAUUAUAGCUCUCGGGCGGUUAUGGAUGGGCGUGCGGCUGAUUAGGUAGUUGGCGGAGUAAUAGCCCACCAAGCCAACGAUCAGUAACUGGUGUGAGAGCACGACCAGUCACACGGGCACUGAA
rnacentral:rRNA from 1 species